rnacentral:lncRNA from 1 species
UAAGCUUCCUGCGAAAAACUUUUUCUUUCUUUUAGUGAAUGUAGAGAGUAAUACUCAAGAACUCAAAAACAACAAAAUGGCAGAAGACAUUGUUUCUAAUGAAUCAUUCAUUUUUAAAAUGAGCUCUAGUAUUGGAACAUAUUGGGUAACACUUGGACGUGCUCUAGGAAUCAAAGACAGUGUUUUAGAAAUGCAUGAUAAGGAAAAUCCCAAAGUUAUAGAUAAAGCAUAUGCUAUGUUAAAACAUUGGACUGCAAAGAACACAAAUGCAACUAUUGACGAGUUGAAAAAUGUUUUAAUGGAAUUAGAAAGAAAUGAUUUAAAAAAA